AUAACUGGACACAAAGAACCCACAGAGAGAGGACUGCUGAACUUGCCUAAAGGUAUAAGCUAACCAGGCAGCUGGGCGCCUGGAAUGCAGCCCGCCGCUUGCCAUUUACAACACCAAAACCCAGAGGCGAGUCUAUUAUAAUAUGUGGAUGACCUAUGGUUUGCUGCGGAGGAUCAAGAACGUUGCAUGAGAGGGACUGAGCAUCUGUUGCACCCCCUUGGAGAACUAGGACACCAAGCAUCGGCAAAGAAGGCUCAGAUCUGUCAGCGACAGCUGCCUUAAACCCAGCCAGAUACUGCCGGAUCUGGACUUAGAGGCCCUGCUACUCGAUUGUUCUGGGAUACUGGCUCAGGCCCACAGCAUCAGACCAGACCUGAAGGACAUUCCUACCCCAGACACGGCAGUCACCUGGUUCACAGAUGGCAGCAGCUAUGUGCAGAGUGCAUGAAGAUAAACAGGGGCCACAGUGAUAACAACAGAGGCAAUAUGGGCUGAACCCCUACCACAGGGACCUCGACACAAAAGUUGGAGUUUAAUAACCCUUACAAAGACCUUCCUGGGGAAAAGCACAAAUCUAAGCAUCUACACAGACAGCAGGUAUGCCUUUGCCACAGCCCACAUCCACAGAUGUCUACCAGGAGAGGGGGUUGCUAACAGCAGGAGGAAAAACUUUUAAAAAACAAACAGGAGAUCCUGGAUCCCCUACAAGCAUUCUGGAGCUGGCAAUAAUACACUGUUCUGGACAUCAAAAAGACUCCGGAAGAAUACAACUGGGAAACAACCUGGCUCAUAAAACAGCAAAAGAGGUGACUUCAGCCCCCAGGGCUAGGGCAACUUUAACAGACUCAGGAGCCAGGAACCUGUCACAAAUCCCCAAGUCCACACUGAAGAUCUAGCCUGGACACACACUCUCCCCCACGGUCCAGCGAAUAGAGGAAUGGUGGAAAACUGCCAAUGGGCGAGUCAUCCCUCCCCAAAGGCUGGGAUACGAGAUACUUAAAAAAAAUACACCGCUUCUCAGACCUGGGGACAUGUAGAAUGUGGGACCUGUCGCAAAGGGCUCAGAUCAAAAUUCAAGAUGGUAGCCAGACUGUUGAACAGAUAGUGACACAAUGCCAGGCCUGCGAGCUGACAAACGUGGUGAGCAACCCCUCCAACCCAGGGGCCCAUCAGCAGGGAGCUUGACCAGACAGCUCCCAUGAAGGCUCCACUGAAGAGGCAGAAACAUCCAUUUCAGGGAACAUACAGUUCUAACUGGAGAAUGGCCACACUGAGUUUCCCAUGGCUGAAUUCACCCGGGACUCUCUUCUAAGUAUUGGCGGCUGGGAUUUAUUCGGCCAACUCAGAUGGGUGACUGUUGUCCAUGUUGCUAUCACAGAAUGAAGGAGAGAUCACUGAGAUUAGUCGACACAGAGCAGUCAGGGUUGGGGAGAUGGUUCAGGGAGCAAGAGCACGUAUUGCUUUUCCAGAGGACAUGGGCUCGAUUCCCAGCGUCCACAUGG